rnacentral:sRNA from 1 species
UGGGUAUAAGUGUUGUCUAAACACUCUUAAUCCAUAUCUAACGCAUAUAAUUAGUGAAAUGCAUCAGAUUGUGACACAUUUUGACCAUAAAAAUCUAACAAGCUAUUUACAGCUUCUAAACAAUUUUCUGUUGGUUUUAGUCUCUUCUAGGAGAAAAUGGGUAUAAGUGUUCUCUAAACGCUCCUAAUCUAUCUCUAACUCAUAGAAUUAGUCAAAUGCUUUGGAUUUUAACAAAAUUUGACCAUAGGUAUGAGUGUUGUCUAAACGCUCCUAUUUAGUGUUUCUAAACAAUUUUUUGUUGGUUUUAGCUUCUUUUGGGACAAAAUGGGUAUAAGUGUUGUCUAAACACUCCUAAUAAAUCUUUAACUCUUCUAAUUAGUCAAAUGCAUUGGAUUCUGACACAUUUAACCAUAGAAACACUAACAAAGCUAUUGACUGCUUCUAAGCAAUAUUUUGUUGGUUUUAGCAUCUUUUGGAAGGAAAUGGGUAUAAGUGUUGUCUAAACACACCUUAUCCAUCUCUAACUCUUAUAAUUAGUCAAAUGCAUUAUAUUGUAACUCAUUUUGACCAAGGAAACACUAACAAAACUAUUGACUGCUUCUAAGCAAUUUUUUGUUUGUUUUAGCCUCUUUUGUGACAAAAUGGGUCCAAAUGUUGUCUAAACACUCCUAAUAUAUCUCUAACUUUUAUACUUAUUCAAAUGCAUUGGAUUGUGACACAUUUUGACCAUUGAAACACUAACAAAGCUAUAUACUGCUUCUAAGCAAUUUUUUGUUGGUUUUGCCCUCUUUUAGGAUAAAAUGGUUAUAAGUGUUAUCUAAACACUCAGAAUCCAUCUCUAACUCAUAUAAUUAGUCAAAUGCAUUAGAUUGUGAUACAUUUUGACCAUUGAAACACUAACAAAGCUAUUUACUCCUUCUAAGCAAUAUUUUGUUGGUUUUGCCCUCUUCUAGGAGAAAAUGGGUAUAAUUGUUGUCUAAACACUCUGAUCUAUCUCUAACUCAUAUAAUUAGUCAAAUACUUUAGAUUGUUACAAAAUUUCACCAUAGAAACACUAACAAAGCUAUUUAGUGCUUCUAAGCAAUUUUUUGUUGGUUUUAGCUUGUUUUGAGACAAAAUGGGAAUAAGUGUUGCCUUAACACUCCUAAUCCAUAUUUAACUCAUCUAAUUAGUCAAAUGCAUCGGACUGUAAUACAUUUUGACCAUAGAAACACUAACAAAGCUACUUACUGCUUCUAACAAUUAUUUGUUGGUUUUAUCCUCUUCUAGGAGAAAAUGAUUAUAAGUGUUUGCUAAACGCUCCUAAUCUAUCUCUAACUCAUAUAAUUAGUUAAAUAUUUUGGAUUGUGACAAAAUUUGACCAUAGAAACACUUACAAAGCUAUUUAGUGUUUCUAAGCAAUUUUUUGUUUGUUUUAGCUUCUUUUGAGACAAAAUGUGUAUAACUGUUGUCUAAACACUCCUAAUCCAUCUCUAACUCAACUAAUUAGUCAAAUGCAUUGGAUACUAACACAUUUUAACAAUAGAAAUAUUAACAAAGCUAUUGACUGCUUCUAAGCAAUUUUUGUUGGUUUUAGCGUUUUUUGGGACAAAAUGGGUAUAAGUGAUGUUAAAACACUCCUAAUACAUCUCUAACUCAUAUAAUUAGUCAAAUGCAUUAGAUUGUGACACAUUUAGACCAUUGAAACACUAACAAAGCUAUUUAUAGCUUCUAAGCAAUUUUUUGUUGGUUUUAGUCUCUUUUGGGACAAAAUGGGUAUAAGUACUGUCUAAACAGUCCUAAUCUAUCUCUAACUUUUGUAAUUAGUCAAAUGCAUUGGAUUGUGACACAUUUUGACCAUAGAAACACUAACAAAGCUGUUUACUGCUACUGAGCAAUUUUUUGUCUGUUUUAUCUACUUUUGGGACAAAAUGGGUAUAAGUGUUGUCUAAACACUCCUAAACCAUCUUUAACUUUUAUAAUUAGUCAAAUGCAUUGGAUUGUAACACAUUUUAACCAAAGAAACACUAACAAAGCUAUUGACUGCUUCUAAGCAAUUUUGUUUUGGUUUUAGACUCUCUUGGGAGAAAAUAGGUAUGAAUGUUGUUUAAACACUCCUAAUCCAUCUUUAACUCUUCUAAUUAGUCAAAUGCAAUGGAUUCUGACACAUUUUAACCAUAGAAACACUAACAAAGAUAUUGACUACUUCUAAGCAAUUUUUUGUUGGUUUUAGCAUCUUUUGGGAGAAAAUGGGUAUAAGUGUUGUCUAAACACACCUAAUCCAUAUUUAAAUCUUAUAAUUAGUCAAAUGCAUUAGAUUGUAACACAUUUUGACCAUAGAAACCCUAACAAAGCUAUUUAGUGCUUCUAAGCGAUUUUUUGUUGGUUUUAGCCUCUUUUGGGAUAAAAUGGGUAUAAGUGUUGUCUAAACACUCCUAAUCCAUCUUUAACUCUUCUAAUUAGUCAAAUGCAUUGGAUUCUGACACAAUUAACCGUAGAAACACUAACAAAGCUAUUGGCUGCUUUUAAGCAAUGUUUUGUUGGUUUUAGCCUCUUUUGGGAGAAAAUGGGUGUAAGUGUUGUCUGAACACUCCUAAUCUAUCUCUACCUCAUAUAAUUAGUCAAAUGCAUUGGAUUCUGACACAAUUAACCAUAGAAACACUAACAAAGUUAUUUAGUGCUUCUAAGCAAUGUUUUGUUGGUUUUAGCUUCUUUUGGGAGAAAAUAGGUAUAAGUGUUGUCUAAACACCCUUAAUCCAUCUGUAACUCAUAUAAUUAGUCAAAUGCAUUGUAUUGUGAUAAAUGUUGACCAUUGAAAAAGUAAAAAAGCUAUUCACUGCUUCCAAGCAAUUUUUUGUUGGUUUUAGCCUCUUCUAGGGGAAAAUGGGUAUAAGUGUUGUCUAAACACUCUUAAUCCAUCUCUAACUCAUAUAAUUAGUCAAAUGCAUCAGAUUGUAUUACAUUUUGACCAUAAAA